GAUGAACGCUGGCGGCGUGCCUAGUACAUGCAAGUCGAGCGAACAGACGAGGAGCUUGCUCCUCUGACGUUAGCGGCGGACGGGUGAGUAACACGUGGAUAACCUACCUAUAAGACUGGGAUAACUUCGGGAAACCGGAGCUAAUACCGGAUAAUAUAUUGAACCGCAUGGUUCAAUAGUGAAAGACGGUUUUGCUGUCACUUAUAGAUGGAUCCGCGCCGCAUUAGCUAGUUGGUAAGGUAACGGCUUACCAAGGCAACGAUGCGUAGCCGACCUGAGAGGGUGAUAGGCCACACUGGAACUGAGACACGGUCCAGACUCCUACGGGAGGCAGCAGUAGGGAAUCUUCCGCAAUGGGCGAAAGCCUGACGGAGCAACGCCGCGUGAGUGAUGAAGGUCUUCGGAUCGUAAAACUCUGUUAUUAGGGAAGAACAAAUGUGUAAGUAACUAUGCACGUCUUGACGGUACCUAAUCAGAAAGCCACGGCUAACUACGUG
rnacentral:rRNA from 1 species